CCCACCCCUAUUUGACUUCAGAAGUCUUUGCGCUCUGCCAAUAAAAACAGGCUGACUCUCACAUCAAGCUCAUACAGCCACUGAGAUCAGCUCCAACAGAAGAAAUCCAAUAUCUGGAAGACUAUGGCAGAAAAUCAGCCAGAGAGUCUUGGUCCAAACAGUGGCACAACCGAGGGGAGAGAGGACUACCUGAGAGACCCAGACUAUUUUAUGGCUUUAGCCUGUCUGUCAGCCAAAAGGAGCAAGACCCAAGCACACAGGUGGGGGCAUGUAUAGUGAACAAGGAGAAUAAGAUAGUUGGCAUUGGUCACAAUGGUAUGCCAGAUGGCUGUGAUGGUGAGCUACCGUGGUCCAGGGAUGCAGUCAACAAGCUUGACAAUAAAUACGUUUAUGGUGAG